GAAUGACAUCAUGCGGGCUCGUGUCGGGCUCCAUCUGCGACAUGACACCUUCAGACACUAAAGGUGUAGAGUGAUGCAGCAGAAGGUGUGUUCCAGAGGUUCCGGUUCUUUCCUCUCGGAGAGGAGCGGCCAGCCCUGUGGCACCACCACCUCCUGCGACCUCCCCUUCCGCUGCCCCCGCUGUGGCGAGCACGAGCGCUUCCGCAGCCUGGCCUCGCUCCGCGCCCACCUGGAGUACCGCCACUCGUACCGCUCGCCAGACGUGACCCCCGGCGGCUUCAGCAUCACCGGCAAACUCCCCGACCCGUUGACGGCGGCUAUCCCCUGGCACGACAUGAGCCUCCCGACCCGCGGGGGGCAGCAGAGUGCGUGGCGGCCGCCUCACGUCCGCUCCCUCAGCGAUAGCCGAGACAGCGGGUACCCUCACUCCUACGGCUCCGUGAGGAGACGCACCCAGAGCGUCGGGGUGGGGACGCAGGCUGAGGAGGAUGAUGACGAGGAUGAUGAUGACGAUGAAGUGGAUUUUGGGUCAGAAGAUGAAGACGAGGAGGAUGACGACUACGAAGGUGAAGAGAGAUAUGGUGGCAGAAACGAGGAGGAAAUCAAUAUGUUGUUAAAAAAGUCUGAGACAUGCCUCCAUCACCUCAACCACCGUCACCACCCGUUCCCUCCUUUAGCUCCUCUUCACCCAGAACUGGACCUGGACCUGGCCGAGCAGAACUCCUACUCCGGCUCGGAGACGGCCGCGGUGCGCCGACGUCUGGCCCGGAUCCUGCGGGCGGCCGACGGCACCAUGCAGCGCCGGCUGGCCAAGGUGAGCACGGAUCUGGCCCAGACGGACACGGAGCUCCUGUGCGAGCGCGCUCACUCGCAGCACCUGGCCCAGGAGAGGCAGGAGGUGGCGGACAGGGAGAGGUCACUGAGCCGCCAGGUGGACGUGGCCGUCAUGGUGAUCGCCGCACUGAGGGAGCAGCUCAACGCCUCGGAGAACGAGCUGGAGCGCCGGGAGAGGGAGGUGAUAACCAUCCAGAAGUUUCUGGAAGCGGCGGCUCGACAGGAGACGUGCGGGAAAGUUAGAAUCCAACGCUUCAUCGAGAAUCUGCUGAGACGCAUCGCCAUGGCCGAGAGACUGGUGGAGUAUUACCAGGUCAACGGCAGCCAGCAACAGUGCAGCCACUACAAGUACCAGCAGCCAACCGAUAAUGGACCUCACCGGAUCACUAAAAGCAGGCGAGUACCUCCACAUUCUCGCAGGUUCUUGUAACAUCAACAUGGGUCGAAGGUGGCCGGGUCACACCGUUAUCAAUGACGUCAAAUUCAAAAGGACAUUUUAAGAUUAACUUUUGACGGGUACAUUCUGUGGAGAACCUCAAGUGUUAAUAUUAUAUCUCCAUUCAACAGUUAAGAAGACGUAUGAAUGAAUGAAUCGGUUGCUUGGACAGACGGCCAAUCGGAUAGCUCGAUUGAGAGAAAGCUUUGUAGCGGUUAUUGGGGAAAAAAUAAAAACUAAUGGUAUUAUAUCAAAUGACCUGCAGUAAACUUAGUGUGUAUCAUGUGUUAGUGUCACACGUGACCUCUCAGGAUACUGAGCUGAGUUUAAUAUCAGGAUUCAUAUCGGGGGUAAUCCUCCACAAUGAAUAUUCUGCUAAAGAGUAGCUGGUACAAAUGUGACUCCUUAUUAUGACUUUGUGCAGUUUGAGUUCCUGUCGGUCACAAAAAUGGUUAUUUGUGGACACAUUUUUAAAUCUUUUUGGAGGUUAUCGCUGUGGUUUUGUUUUUAGAUUCAUUCGUCCCCGUUAUCGGCUUCACACAAGACAUUUCCCUGCAGGACUUUUAUUCUUCACUCAAGUUAUUUUUAAGUGCUGAAAGACGAGAAAAGGGGAGUUAGUGCUCCCACUCGCAGCGUAUUGCUCUGCCGGUGUCCUCCUCUGAACAGAUAAACUGCUGCUGCUGCCGCUUCAGUCUGAGGUCACUGAGAGAAAUUAGGAUCCUGUCAGCGGGAUGUCAGCUGUCCUCGUCCGGUUUCCACGACAACCGGAGACACUCCUCCUCCUCCUCGCAGUUCGCCGGCCGUCCUCUGUUC